GCGUAACGCGUAUGCAACCUACCUUGAUCAGGGGGAUAGCCCGAAGAAAUUCGGAUUAACACCGCAUAAGAACAUAGAGUGGCAUCACUUAGUGUUUAAAUAUUUAUAGGAUCAAGAUGGGCAUGCGUGACAUUAGCUAGUUGGUGAGGUAACGGCUCACCAAGGCGACGAUGUCUAGGGGAUCUGAGAGGAUGACCCCCCACACUGGUACUGAGACACGGACCAGACUCCUACGGGAGGCAGCAGUAAGGAAUAUCGGUCAAUGGAGGCAACUCUGAACCAGCCAUGCCGCGUGCAGGAAGACGGCCCUAUGGGUUGUAAACUGCUUUUAUACGGGAAUAAACCCCUUUACGUGUAAAGGGUUGAAUGUACUGUAAGAAUAAGGAUCGGCUAACUCCGUGCCAGCAGCCGCGGUAAUACGGAGGAUCCAAGCGUUAUCCGGAUUUAUUGGGUUUAAAGGGUGCGUAG
rnacentral:rRNA from 1 species